rnacentral:rRNA from 1 species
GCAUAUCAAUAAGCGGAGGAAAAGAAACCAACAGGGAUUGCCCUAGUAACGGCGAGUGAAGCGGCAACAGCUCAAAUUUGAAAUCUGGCGUCUUUGGCGUCCGAGUUGUAAUUUGCAGAGGGCGCUUUGGCAUUGGCAGCGGUCCAAGUUCCUUGGAACAGGACGUCACAGAGGGUGAGAAUCCCGUACGUGGUCGCUAGCCUUUACCGUGUAAAGCCCCUUCGACGAGUCGAGUUGUUUGGGAAUGCAGCUCUAAAUGGGAGGUAAAUUUCUUCUAAAGCUAAAUACUGGCCAGAGACCGAUAGCGCACAAGUAGAGUGAUCGAAAGAUGAAAAGCACUUUGGAAAGAGAGUUAAAAAGCACGUGAAAUUGUUGAAAGGGAAGCGCUUGCAGCCAGACUUGCCUGUAGUUGCUCAUCCGGGUUUCUACCCGGUGCACUCUUCUAUAGGCAGGCCAGCAUCAGUUUGGGCGGUUGGAUAAAGAUCUCUGUCAUGUACCUCUCUUCGGGGAGAACUUAUAGGGGAGAUGACAUGCAACCAGCCCGGACUGAGGUCCGCGCAUCUGCUAGGAUGCUGGCGUAAUGGCUGUAAGCGGCCCGUCUUGAAACACGGACCAC